AAGAUUGUGCUUUCAGGGACCAUCUCUAUAGUCUCUUGCUAGAGAAACAUCUGUGAACAUGUAGAGUACCUAAAACCAGGAGGCUGAGAUGUGGUGUUGUUCUCUCGCAGGCACAGAGCAAGCCCUUUGUGAGGCUAUGCUGCACCAGUCUUCUGCCAUCGAUGAUCCUUCUUCAUCCCCCUGGGAGAGUUAGAGAAAACACAACAUGAAAGGC